rnacentral:rRNA from 1 species
AUUAAUACCGCAUAACAUUACAUUUUCGCAUGAAGAAGUAAUUAAAGGAGCAAUCCGCUACAAGAUGGGCCCGCGGCGCAUUAGCUAGUUGGUGAGGUAGCGGCUCACCAAGGCGACGAUGCGUAGCCGACCUGAGAGGGUGAUCGGCCACAUUGGGACUGAGACACGGCCCAGACUCCUACGGGAGGCAGCAUG